ACCUACGGGACGCAGCAGUGAGGAAUAUUGGUCAAUGGUCGGGAGACUGAACCAGCCAAGCCGCGUGAGGGAGGAAGGUACAGAGUAUCGUAAACCUCUUUUGUCAGGGAACAAAGGCGGGGACGUGUCCCCGGAUGAGUGUACCUGAAGAAAAGCAUCGGCUAACUCCGUGCCAGCAGCCGCGGUAAUACGGAGGAUGCGAGCGUUAUCCGGAUUUAUUGGGUUUAAAGGGUGCGCAGGCGGUCUGUUAAGUCAGCGGUCAAAGCCCGGGGCUCAACCCCGGCCCCCCGUUGAAACUGGCCGUC
rnacentral:rRNA from 1 species